rnacentral:rRNA from 1 species
UACGUAGGGGGCAAGCGUUAAUCGGAAUUACUGGGCGUAAAGCGUGCGUAGACGGUCAUGUAAGUCGGGUGUGAAAGCCCCGGGCUCAACCUGGGAAUGGCGGUGGAUACUGAGAAGCUGGAGUACGGUAGAGGAAGGUGGAAUUCCCGGUGUAGCGGUGAAAUGCGUAGAGAUCGGGAGGAACAUCAGUGGCGAAGGCGGCCUUCUGGACCAGUACUGACGCUGAGGCACGGAAAGC